rnacentral:lncRNA from 1 species
GGAGGACGGGGGACCCACCAUAUGCACAGGAGGCCACCUAGGGAACACGGAGGGAGGGACUCUGGCCCCCAGAACGCAGGCCCCAGCCCGGAAGGCGACCCCUAGCGGCAGCCUAGGGAAGCCCCUAGUGGGAAUGAGGCCCCGCGGGGUGUCUGGACUUCCGUAUCCGGGUCUCAAGAGACUGGCGGGGCGGGGCGUGGCGAGGGGGCCUCGGCGUCGGCGUGGGCGUCGGCGUGGGCGUCGGCGUCUUCCGGCCGCGCCUCGAAUCCCGUCAGGCGCGGGAAGGGCGCAGAGCCUCGUGGGGCUUCGAGGGGCUCUGCGAGCUCUGCAGUUGAGGCCUUGGUCUGAGGCAGGAGUCCUGAGGUCACAGAGCAGAGGAGGCGAGGCCGCGUGCCAGUCGGUUGUCCAGGCGAGGGUCUGGCGACCAUCAUGCCCCUGCGUCAGAGGAGUGAGCUCUGCAAGGUCGAGGAGGAGCCCAGACAGGCCCCGCUGCCAUGGGAUGUACCGCUGUGGGAGGCGGAGGACGAGGAGGUGGAGGAGGUGGAGGAGGUGGAGGUGGAGGUGGUGGAGGUGGAGGAGGUGGAGGUGGAGGAGGUGGAGGAGGAGGAGGUGGAGGAGGUGGAGGAGGUGGAGGAGGUGGAGGAGGUGGAGGAGGUGGAGGAGGUGGAGGAGGUGGAGGAGGUGGAGGAGGAGGGCGAGGCACAGUCUGCCCGAGAGUCAGAGGAGUGAGCUCUGGAAGCUUGAGGAAGAGCAAUGCAUCCUGCUCCUGUUGGAUGCACUGCUGUGGGACGGGAGGACGAAGAGGAGGAGGUGGAUGUGGAGGAGGAGGAGGCACCUUCUCCCUCUCCGUCCUCCUCUUCCUCCCUGUCCUCCUCCUGCUCUGCCCAGUUUCUGGUCCCCUGGAGGAGGGAUCUGCUGCUGGCUUGCAGAGCCCCAGAGCCCUCACAGCCCCUGCCCUUCCCCAAAUGCCAUGGCAGGUGCCCCAUUGAGCCCGUGGGACCUUGGCCCCAGCAGCCCGGAGGAGAUGGGGUGGAGUACCUGGGGGCACUUGGAAGUGGCCCAGUCCCUGUGUCAGAUGUGAGUUCUUGUACAGUUUUGGCGGGACCGUGACAGGAUACAGUUGUGGUGGAAAACGGUUUGGUGUGCCAUCGAAAGAUUCAGAAUGGAAUCCCUGCGUGGUCCAACAAUCCUAAUUAAUUCUGGGUAUCGUCGCAAAGAGUAGAAAGUUGGGUUCCAAACUUCUUUUGCUCCUUUGCUCACAGAUGCAGUACUCACGAUAGUUGAAGUGCUGGUGUGAUAUUAUGGCCUAUGCAGAAAAUAUAUUUGUGGUCACUGAGAUGACUAAAAUACAUUUCUUUCAAAUAUCUGUGUGGAGCAUCUGGGCAUCUCAUUCGGUUAAGUGUGCGACUUUGGCUCAGGUCGUGAUCUCACGGUUUGUCUGUUGGAGCCCUGCGUCGUAGGGUCUGUGCUGACAGCUCAGAUCCUGGAGGCCGCUUUGGAUUCUGUGUCUCCCCGUCUCCCUCUUUGCCCCUCCUCCUUUGUGGGGGAGUGAGUGUUCUCUUUUUGUCUCUCAGAAAUGAAUAAAUAAACAUUAAAAAAAAUCA